CUCUCUCUCUGGUUGUAUAUAUUCAGGGAUGUAAUGUUAAAUUUAAUAAUUCCUUUGCGUCAUUUUCUUAUCUGGCUUUCACGAUGAACAGCGAUGUAUUGAAAAUAUUUAAAAUACAUUACAUUCAUGCAAUGAAUGUAAACACACACACAUACACACACAUACAUACGCACAUAAAUACACACAUACACACAAACACACACAGACACAUAUAUAUUUAUGUGUGUGUGUGUGUGUAUGCUGGUACGUAUACAUAUAUACUUAUAUAUACUUACAUAUAUAUAUAUAUUCAUGUAGAAGAUUCUGCAAUUGUGAUCUUUAUAGGAAUUAAACUCGUCAACCCAUUGAGCGGAAAAUUAUUGAAACAAAACUGUUUAAAUAUGAUACUGAACAGAAUAAUUCCUGAUCACGAAUCUGUGUUUUGAAGAAUUUUGAAGCUCGAAACCGGUGAGAGACGGAUGAUCAUUGCAUAAAUCUCACCGAAUCAAGGUUACAAUUUAAAUAUAGGAAACGAAAAGAAGAGAACAGUGCAAAAAGGCGAAAAUAAAACGGAAGCUGACACAAAGUAGGAGGAAGAUCUCUUCAGUAUAUUAUUAUUAUUCUGUAAAGCAUACAACAGAUAUAUAUUCAGCACAAUUAUGAACGAACUACUUGCUUUGAUGAGUAUUUUAUUUGCAUUCUCUUUAUUUUUCCUCCUAUUAAAAAUAUUCAUACCAGAAUGAGAUUAGGGCGUACUCUCGUGAGAAGAAUGUUUUGUUUUGUUAUAACGAUCAUAAGAGGCACAGCGCUAGUAAAUGACUGCAGUAGAAAGAAAAACAUGUUAAGCAUAAGAAUAAAUGCAACAAACAAUAUCACCAACAAACAACAUCAUUGCUGGGGUUUCAUUGGAACGCAUGGUUUAAGGACAGCAAUUUGGAAUUUGGAGGAAUUUGCGAUUGAGAUAUCAAGCAGAAAACAGUGUGAGAGUAAAGGGAUGUUUGUUGGCGGCGAUUAAAUAUUUUUCAUUGAUUCAUAUUGUGUCAUUUACCAAUAAAAUGGUCGAAUUUAAAAAGCCAAA